CUACGGGGCGCACCAGUGAGGAAUAUUGCACAAUGGGGGAAACCCUGAUCCAGCAAUGCCGCGUGUGUGAAGAAGGCCUGCGGGUUGUAAAGCACUUUCGGUUGGGAGGACUGCUUCUAGCACUAAUAUUGUUGGAAGUUGACGUUACCUUCAGAAGAAGCACCGGCUAACUCCGUGCCAGCAGCCGCGGUAAUACGGAGAGUGCAAGCGUUAAUCGGAAUUACUGGGCGUAAAGCGCGCGUAGGCGGCUAGAUCAGUCGGGUGUGAAAGCCCCGGGCUUAACCUGGGAACUGCAUCCGAUACUGUCUAGCUUGAGUACAGGAGAGGAGAGUGGAAUUCCACAUGUAGCGGUGAAAUGCGUAGAUAUGUGGAGGAACACCAAUGGCGAAGGCAGCUCUCUGGCCUGAUACUGACGCUGAGGUGCGAAAGCGUGGGGAGCAAACAGGAUUAGAUACCCUUGUAGUC
rnacentral:rRNA from 1 species